UUAUAGCAUAACUUUUAUUAACCAUUAAAGAAAUAUAAAUAAAUAGAUUUAUUUCCUACUUAUUUAAUUAUUACUUGUCGUGUAUGGAUUUCCCAUUUGCUGCAAUUUUUUAAUUUUAGUAUCUACCUUUUGUGCUACACCUGUAUCUACCUCUUGUGCUACACCUGUUCUUUCUACGUGUGCUACGCCUGUUACAUCUUCAGCUGCCAUGUCAAUUCCAUCUGUACCACCUUCAAACGGUAAAUUUAUGAAUCUGGAAUGUCUCUGAUUGAUUAUUGAGUUCCUCUUAUUCCUAUUUAUAUCAUCUAUUUAAUACUUUCGUGUUUUGUUAUCUCUCCAAGUGCUAUAAAAGGAGAAUCAGAAGCUUAUACAUAUUUUUUUAUUAAAAAUUUCAUUGAUUCAUUAAUCAUUCUUUAUAUUUAUUUAGACAAAUUGU